AAUAAUCAUGCUAAUAGAUAGCUGCAGCAAGAGUUAAUAAGUAAGAAAACAGAUAAGGUUUUAUUAGAGUCCAAUGCUGUCUCUAAAGGAGGAGAGCGAUCCUAAGCACCCUGUAUGCCAUGGAGAAGGUGACCA